UACGUAGGAGGCGAGCGUUGUUCGGAAUUAUUGGGCGUAAAGGGCGCGUAGGCGGUGCGGUAAGUCACCUGUGAAAUCUCCUGGCUCAACUGGGAGCUUGCAGGCGAAACUGCCGUGCUGGAGUGUGGGAGAGGUGCGUGGAAUUCCUGGUGUAGCGGUGAAAUGCGUAGAUAUCAGGAGGAACACCUGUGGCGAAAGCGGCUCACUGGACCAUAACUGACGCUGAUGCACGAAAGCUAGGGGAGCAAACAGG
rnacentral:rRNA from 1 species